rnacentral:rRNA from 1 species
CGAGCGACUGAUUAGAAGCUUGCUUCUAUGACGUUAGCGGCGGACGGGUGAGUAACACGUGGGCAACCUGCCUGUAAGACUGGGAUAACUUCGGGAAACCGAAGCUAAUACCGGAUAGGAUCUUCUCCUUCAUGGGAGAUGAUUGAAAGAUGGUUUCGGCUAUCACUUACAGAUGGGCCCGCGGUGCAUUAGCUAGUUGGUGAGGUAACGGCUCACCAAGGCAACGAUGCAUAGCCGACCUGAGAGGGUGAUCGGCCACACUGGGACUGAGACACGGCCCAGACUCCUACGGGAGGCAGCAGUAGGGAAUCUUCCGCAAUGGACRAAAGUCUGACGGAGCAACGCCGCGUGAGUGAUGAAGGCUUUCGGGUCGUAAAACUCUGUUGUUAGGGAAGAACAAGUACGAGAGUAACUGCUCGUACCUUGACGGUACCUAACCAGAAAGCCACGGCUAACUACGUGCCAGCAGCCGCGGUAAUACGUAGGUGGCAAGCGUUAUCCGGAAUUAUUGGGCGUAAAGCGCGCGCAGGCGGUUUCUUAAGUCUGAUGUGAAAGCCCACGGCUCAACCGUGGAGGGUCAUUGGAAACUGGGGAACUUGAGUGCAGAAGAGAAAAGCGGAUUCCACGUGUAGCGGGUGAAAUGCGUAGAGAUGUGGAGGACMCAGUGGCGAGGCGGCUUUUGGUCUGUACUGACGCUGAGCGCGAAAGCGUGGGGAGCAAACAGAAUAGAUACCUGUAGUCCMCGCCGUAAACGAUGAGUGCUAGGUUAAGGUUUC